GAAAUGCGAUACGUAAUGUGAAUUACAAAUUCAGUGAAUCAUCGAGUCUUUGAACGCACAUUGCGCCCCCUGGUAUUCCGGGGGGCAUGCCUGUCCGAGCGUCAUUUCUGCCCUCAAGCACGGCUUGUGUGUUGGGCCCCGUCCUCCGAUCCCGGGGGACGGGCCCGAAAGGCAGCGGCGGCACCGCGUCCGGUCCUCGAGCGUAUGGGGCUUUGUCACCCGCUCUGUAGGCCCGGCCGGCGCUUGCCGAUCAACCCAAAUUUUUAUCCAGGUUGACCUCGGAUCAGGUAGGGAUACCCGCUGAACUUAAGC
rnacentral:misc_RNA from 1 species